AGCGAACGCUGGCGGCAGGCCUAACACAUGCAAGUCGAGCGCCCCGCAAGGGGAGCGGCAGACGGGAGAGUAACACGUGGGAACGUACCCUUUGGUUCGGAACAACCCAGGGAAACUUGGGCUAAUACCGAAUAAGCCCUUACGGGGAAAGAUUUAUCGCCGAAGGAUCGGCCCGCGUCUGAUCAGCUAGUUGGUGAGGUAACGGCUCACCAAGGCGACGAUCAGUAGCUGGUCUGAGAGGAUGAUCAGCCUCACUGGGACUGAGACACGGCCCAGACUCCUACGGGAGGCAGCAGUGGGGAAUAUUGGACAAUGGGCGCAAGCCUGAUCCAGCCAUGCCGCGUGGGUGAUGAAGGCCCUAGGGUUGUAAAGCCCUUUCGGCGGGGAAGAUAAUGACGGUACCCGCAGAAGAAGCCCCGGCUAACUUCGUGCCAGCAGCCGCCACAC
rnacentral:rRNA from 1 species